AUUCUUCUCCUGGCAGUAUCAUAGCCAAUGAGGUUAAUCCGAGGUGUGAUUAUUGCUAGUUGAAAACUAUUCCUCUGCUUUCUGUCAAAUAGGUGUCAGCUGCUUUCUUGUCCCUACUUAGCUGCUGUUUAGCCAAUCUAUACAUACUGGGUGAAAUUCUUCACUGGGUUACACCC
rnacentral:snRNA from 1 species